rnacentral:tRNA from 1 species
GCCCCAGUAGUGUAGAGGUUAUCAUGAAGCCCUGUCGAGGCUUCGACCUGGGUUCGAUUCCCAGCUGGGGCG